rnacentral:hammerhead_ribozyme from 1 species
AUCCAGCUGAAUAGUCCCAAACCGGACAAAACGCGCGUCCUGAAU